CAGUAGCCACGGUAACACGGAGGGAGCUAGCGUUGUUCGGAAUUACUGGGCGUAAAGCGCGCGUAGGCGGUUACUCAAGUCAGAGGUGAAAGCCCGGGGCUCAACCCCGGAACUGCCUUUGAAACUAGGUGACUAGAAUCUUGGAGAGGUCAGUGGAAUUCCGAGUGUAGAGGUGAAAUUCGUAGAUAUUCGGAAGAACACCAGUGGCGAAGGCGACUGACUGGACAAGUAUUGACGCUGAGGUGCGAAAGCGUGGGGAGCAAACAGGAUUAGAUACCCCAGUAGUCCCUGUCUCUUAUAC
rnacentral:rRNA from 1 species